rnacentral:lncRNA from 1 species
AGCAGUCUCAUCAACUACCGAACCACUCUGAUGUAAUGUUUUCUUGUUUACUUGACUUCCAUAUUCAGCUUUGUCUUUUUGAACUCCAUCGAAGGUUAGGUCCUUCUUCCCGUCUCCUUGAAAAUUAAAACGAAAUAUGUUAGGACUUUGGGUCACAGAUUCAAUCUUCAGCUCCUUUUCCUUGUCGUACUCUGCCGUCUUACCCAUCGACAGGGUAUUUUCUCUUUCCGUCACAUUUGGCUC